UGUAGUGAUGGGGUGUGGUGCUGGAGCAAGUAAAGAUACAAAUGAGAAGAAUGGGGCGCCGCAUUUGCAGUAUCAGUAGUAAACUAAUGGGUUUUAGAAACACGCAAUUGUGCUUACCAGGCAAUGUUGUGAAAAGUCACAACUACUGUAGAUCGCUUUACCAGUUAUUUGCAAUCCCGACCAGUGGGCGGUUAUCCUGGGCUGCAGCCGUGGUCCUCUGUGUUACCCUCAGGGCAAACAGCAGGUAUAUAUUGAAAAAAAGGUCUGGAUCACGGAAGCAAGGGGGGUGGGCUGAUGUAGUAAUGGGGUGUGGUGCUGUAGUAAUGGGGGUUGACGCUGUA